ACGGAGGGUGCAAGCGUUGUUCGGAAUUAUUGGGCGUAAAGAACGUGUAGGCGGGUCUGUGUGUCAGAUGUGAAAGCCCUCGGCUCAACUGAGGAAGUGCAUCUGAAACUGCAGAUCUUGAGUACGAGAGAGGAGAGUGGAAUUCCCAGUGUAGAGGUGAAAUUCAUAGAUAUUGGGAAGAACACCGACGGCGAAAGCGGCUCUCUGGCUCGAUACUGACGCUGAGACGUGAAAGCGUGGGGAGCAAACAG
rnacentral:rRNA from 1 species